GGCAUUGGCCGUCAAUCAUGCAAGGACAACUUUUCUUCAACUCACCACAGGGUCCGUGCAGCAUGUGUUUGAUGACCAAAUCAUGCAGAACAGGGUAUUUCUCUUUGUCAGGUAUCUCUGCAGAUAUCACCCGAUCAUAGUCAUCUGGGGUCGCUAACUUGUUUUUUGCUUUCAUGAUUAGAAGUAUAUGUUCAUGCGGGAGGCCUCGUUUCUGAAACUCAGUGACAUGUACAUAAGCUGCGACUUCUCCAAAGUGCUUACCCUUAGUCAGCAAGUUCAUCAAAUCUUGCUGUUUCGCUUUGAAUACUCUUGCCACAAGGACUGGACGGUCUUGUGGCAAUUGUCCAUGAAACAAUUUCUCGGUUAUCUCCUCCCAAUAGGGAUUGCAAGUCAUCGUGAUAAAAUAGUCCGGUUUACCCCAGCGCUGAACUAUUGCCAUCGCAUCUAGGAACCUUCGCUGCAUGUCACGGUCACCACCAGGAAAUGUACGUGGAAGCACAAUUCUCUUGCCAAUCCGAUCACCGCGCGACUCACCAGCAACGACGGUGUCAACAAGACCCUAUAAUAAAAGUAUAUAAGGUUAUAGAAAAGCAUGCAACAUCUAUAUUAUGCAUCAUAAGUAACACAAGCACGCUACCUGGUAGAGGUCAGCACGUAAAACCUUCUGAUUUGCCGGCUUUGAGUACCAGUCAAGCCUCAUAGUCUCAAUUUUUAUAUAUAUGUCAACAGCCCACUGUUGGAAAAGGUACCCCCCGAACAAUAUUAUGUUAAAAAGCUUCUUCCUGACCUGCACUUUGAAGCAGUAGUACUCCCUCGCACUAACAAAUUUCCUGGAUUUUGUUGGAUUUUCCUCAUUAUCACCAAAAUCCUCAUAUGGGUUAUCCUCGUCAUCUAAAAAUUUGUCAACAGAUAUAUUUGUAAAUUGUUUCGGACACACUUCUCAUUUAAAGUUAGCAAUUAUGACCAAACCUUCAGGUAAAUUAGUGGCAUGGUCUUCAUGCGGUGCCUCGUUACGCAUUGUUUCUUGCAUCGUGUUGUCAUCUAAAUAUUGCUUGACAACAUUAGUAUUCUAACAUUAGACACAUAAGAAUAUAAUAUUAAAAUAAGAAAUGGUGACCAAUACCUGAAGGUAAAUCAGUGUCAUUGUCUUCAUGUGAUGCAAAAUUCACAAAUUGUUCUUCUCUAAUCAAGUCAUCAUCUCCUAGACGGAAGAAAACAAAAGCUUUCAUCCGUAUCAUUCAUAAGUGUAAGUAUAGAAAUUAAUAAUGAACAUCAUACCUCUAGGUAACUCAAAGGCUUGUUUUAGUUGUUCAACUGUUGAAUGUUGGGUCGUGUCAUCAGGUGGCGCAACAAAUGGCAUCCAACGAUUCCAACCAGUCUCCCCACGUGGGAAGAAUAGAGGAUAUGACAAUGGGUCGUAACACCCAUAGUAUGCUCUAAUAUACAAGGGACGGUCUCCUUUUCCAUGCACAACAACACUCCUGUCAAAGCAAUUUUGUGGGUCGCUCCCUUCAACCCAUAUCGCUGCCACCUGAGAAGUCGUUGGGGAAUUGUACCUUCGUUGAUCCAGUUUGAUAUCUGUGUUUAUUGAGAUCCUAUAUUCAUCUAGAUUUGGAACAGACCCAAGGCUCUUGAAAACCUGUGCAUAAGGGUUCCGCUCUAGUAUUUCCAAAAUCGUUCGUAUAACAUCUAUAUUAAGAUCUGGAGACCUCUUAACCCUGUGAAGCAAGUUUUCAUCUGUAUCAUAAAUAUAGAGCUGCAAAUGUCGAGGGCCAUUAUCAGCUGCCACCAGAUUAUCAAGAGCAUGGUACAACCCCUGAGAUAUCCGAAAUGUAUAUACGCCAGUUCUUGCAGCCGUGCUGACUCGGCGAUCAAGGGUGACUCCUAGACUUGUGAAUGAGAAGUGUGAGUUGAAAUACCGAAUAUUCUCUCUAAAAUAUUUAGCAUCAUCAUCCUCUUGACUUGUGAAUAAUCGUUUCAACUCUUCUGGAACCUGUGGAGUAACAAUUGAUACUCUUCCUUUUCUGCAGCAAAAUGCGGGUCCCUCAUACUGAAACCGUAAUGCCCCACAGAUGUUGGCGAUCCGGUACCUUUCUUAGGACAUGAUGCUUUUCAGGGUGUUAAAGGUUGAUGUUAGGCAUGGCAAUCCAGAAUGUUGUUGUAGCUAGAUCCGUACCAGGGGAUGGAGAUUGAGGACAUGGGUGAGGUUGAAGACAUCCAUCAGAAGAUGGGACUGGCAGGUACUUGAGAAUCCAAUCCAAUUUGUCGCCGGUGGGGAGAUGAAGGAGGAGCGAUGCAGGCUUGCGAGGUCACCUUGGAGUUGACGUUGCUGUGCAGGUAUUCAAGGUCGCCGAGGAGGGAGAAGACGGGCUGUGCAGGAUUGCGAGGUUGCCGUGCAGGGAGACGUUGGGCUGCUGGUCAGCGUAUGGCGCGGUGGCCG